CGUAUAUUAAAGUUGUUGCAGUUAAAAAGCUCGUAGUUGAAUUUUGGGCCGGGCCGGGCGGUCGUCCGCAAGGGCUGCACUGCCUGCGCCUGGCCUUUCCUUCUGGGGAUCCCGCGUGCUCUUAACUGAGUGCGCGGGGGAACCAGGACCUUUACUUUGAAAAAAUUAGAGUGUUUAAAGCAGGCCUUUGCUUGAAUACUUCAGCAUGGAAUAAUAGAAUAGGACUUUGGUUCUAUUUUGUUGGUUUCUAGGACCGAAGUAAUGAUUAAUAGGGAUAGUUGGGGGCAUUAGUAUUUAAUUGUCAGAGGUGAAAUUCUUGGAUUUAUGAAAGACUAACUUCUGCGAAAGCAUUUGCCAAGGAUGUUUUCAUUAAUCAAGAACGAAAGUUAGGGGAUCGAAGACGAUUAGAUACCGUCGUAGUCUUAACCAUAAACUAUGCCGACUCGGGAUCGGGCGAUGUUAUUUAUGACUCGCUCGGCACCGUAUGAGAAAUCAAAGUUUUUGGGUUCUGGGGGGAGUAUGGUCGCAAGGCUGAAACUUAAAGGAAUUGACGGAAGGGCACCACCAGGAGUGGAGCCUGCGGCUUAAUUUGACUCAACACGGGGAAACUCACCAGGUCCAGACAUGAUAAGGAUUGACAGAUUGAGAGCUCUUUCUUGAUUUUAUGGGUGGUGGUGCAUGGCCGUUCUUAGUUGGUGGAGUGAUUUGUCUGGUUUAUUCCGAUAACGAACGAGACCUUAACCUGCUAAAUAGUCACCUCGACCCUGUGUCGUGGGCCGACUUCUUAGAGGGACUGUGGACGUGAAGUCCACGGAAGUUU
rnacentral:rRNA from 1 species